rnacentral:rRNA from 1 species
GACGAACGCUGGCGGCGUGCUUAACACAUGCAAGUCGAACGGAAAGGCCCUGCUUUUGUGGGGUGCUCGAGUGGCGAAAGGGUGAGUAACCCGUUAGUAACCUUCCCUUUACUUUGGGAUAACUUCAGGAAACUGGGGCUAAUACCGGAUAGGAGCUCCUGCUGCCUGGUGGGGGUUGGAAAGUUUCGGCGGUUGGGGUUGGACUCGCGGCUUAUCAGCUUGUUGGUGGGGUAGUGGCUUACCAAGGCUUUGACGGGUAGCCGGCCUGAGAGGGUGACCGGCCACAUUGGGACUGAGAUACGGCCCAGACUCCUACGGGAGGCAGCAGUGGGGAAUAUUGCACAAUGGGCGGAAGCCUGAUGCAGCAACGCCGCGUGCGGGAUGACGGCCUUCGGGUUGUAAACCGCUUUCGCCUGUGACGAAGCGUGAGUGACGGUAAUGGGUAAAGAAGCACCGGCUAACUACGUG